rnacentral:snRNA from 1 species
AGCCGUGUGGUCAAGACAGAGCGAACUAUUCUUUCGCCUUUUACUAAAGAAUACCGUGUCUUGGCCAUCAACAGCGGCAUCGGGUAUGGAGAUUUAUUUAGAAUAU